rnacentral:lncRNA from 1 species
GAGUUCCACUCCCUGGUGACUAAGCACUCAGAUAUACGAGGCUCUGGGAAUCAUUCUUAUCCAAAGCACCACAAUGAUCUUUGGUCAUUGUGGAGUCUCCCAGCUACAAUAAGCAGGUUUCCAUACUAUCUGGAGUCACAAAUCCGGAAUAUACACUCUAUAGAACAAUGAUCUUCAUCAUCAGUCGUUUUGAAAAAGGCUACCUGUCUCAUUCUGGUAACCCUAUGGAGUGUCGCUAAUGGCAAGGAACCAAGACCUCUUGCCAACAGACAGUGAGGAAUGAUGACUACCUAAUAAAAAACACAUGGGUGACCUCGCACCUGACCAGCAGCUGUGAACUGCAGCCCCCAGAGCCUUCAGAAGAAUAUGACUUCCAUAUCACCUCUCCCUCCAAAGAGCAAGCAGAAGAUUUCUUGCGGCUUCUUCUGACCUAGAACUAUUCAUUCUAGAUCCUGUUCAGUUGACUAUCAUGGAAUGCUCGCAGCAAUACAAAGAGGCAUUGUUCAUCCCUUUCCUAAAGCAUUAAUCAAGAUUACUUGGUUAGUGGUUAUUUUUUAAAGCCACUUCUCUGUUUCUCCACAGGCAUACAGUUUGAUUAUAUAAUUUAUGAUGUCUUGUAGGUUUCUGUCUUAGUGAGUGUUCCUUUUGUUUUUGUGAGGA